AUUCGAUUCUUGAAUGUCACAUACAAGAUUACAAUAUUUAUAUUCUAAUACAAUUCACUUUAGUUAUUCUCAUCUGAUACUAAUUUAGUUACUAUAUCUAUAACUAUUCCUUCCAAUUUCACAUCUAAUGAACCUUAUAACUCCAGCUCAAUGAUCCUUAACUCUUCCAGUUCAUUGGUCCAUAGUCCUCACAUUUUGAUACCAAUUAUUGUGUCAUAGCCACAACUAAGCAGAAGAAUAGAGGAAUGGGAAGAGAAAU
rnacentral:misc_RNA from 1 species